AAGUCGUAACAAGGUUUCCGUAGGUGAACCUGCGGAAGGAUCAUUCACAAUAAGUGUUUAUGGCACUUUCAAAUCCAUACCCACCUUGUGUGCAUUGUAAGGGCCCUUUCGAAAGACUGGGCUUCAUUUUCUCACACGUCUUCAAUUGCAAGUCUAACAUUCAGAGUAUAAUCAAAAAACUCGAAUACAACUUUCAACAACGGAUCUCUUGGCUCUC
rnacentral:misc_RNA from 1 species